UGGGGCGAUUAUAGUAACUCAUAAUUUCUAUUCUACUAGAAAUUAUGAGUAAAAAGAAAGUUCUAUACAUAAGAAAAUUAGAACAUAAGAAAAUUAGACUUUCUUACACGAAGCUAUUCACAACAUAUCGCACAUUUUCCAUUUAUACUAUUUUCUUAUUCUUAGAAAUUUUUUUAUGUUCUUUUUUUUGAAGGAUCUCGAUUGAAGCAUCUCGCACCUUUUUUAAGCAUGAAAGAUUCGUAGGUUUUUUCCUUUUACUUUUUUUCUUUUACUAUAGUCUAUUCUAGUCUAUUCUUG